rnacentral:rRNA from 1 species
AUUGAACGCUGGCGGCAGGCCUAACACAUGCAAGUCGAGCGAGCGGCGGACGGGUGAGUAAUGUAUGGGGAUCUGCCCGAUAGAGGGGGAUAACUACUGGAAACGGUGGCUAAUACCGCAUACCAUCAGAUGUGCCAAGAUGGGAUUAGCUAGUAGGUGGGGUAAAGGCUCACCUAGGCGACGAUCUCUAGCUGGUCUGAGAGGAUGAUCGUCCAAAAUGGGACUGAGACACGGCCCAGACUCCUACGGGAGGCAGCAGUGGGGAAUAUUGCCCAAUGGGCGCAAGCCUGAUGCAGCCAUGCCGCGUGUAUGAAGAAGGCCUUAGGGUUGUAAAGUACUUUCAGCGGGGAGGCGUUACCCGCAGAAGAAGCACCGGCUAACUCCGUGCCAGCAGCCGCGGUAAUUC